rnacentral:rRNA from 1 species
AUUGAACGCUGGCGGCAGGCCUAACACAUGCAAGUCGAGCGGGGUUUUCGGACCUAGCGGCGGACGGGUGAGUAAUGCGUAGGAAGCUACCCGAUAGAGGGGGAUACCAGUUGGAAACGACUGUUAAUACCGCAUAAUGUCUACGGACCAAAGUGUGGGACCUUCGGGCCACAUGCUAUCGGAUGCGCCUACGUGGGAUUAGCUAGUUGGUGGGGUAAUGGCUCACCAAGGCGACGAUCCCUAGCUGGUUUGAGAGGAUGAUCAGACACACUGGAACUGAGACACGGUCCAGACUCCUACGGGAGGCAGCAGUGGGGAAUAUUGGACAAUGGGCGCAAGCCUGAUCCAGCCAUGCCGCGUGUGUGAAGAAGGCCUUCGGGUUGUAAAGCACUUUCAGUAGGGAGGAAGCGUUGUGUGUUAAUAGUACACAGCGUUGACGUUACCUACAGAAGAAGCACCGGCUAACUCUGUGCCAGCCGCCGCUGUAAAAC